AUGUUUCAUCUCUAGGUUGCUUUUACAUUGUAUACCUGUAUGCACAUCCUUGAUUAGAUCCAUAUGUGUAUUGACAUCAUCAUGUUCCUUUGGCAGUGAACGUGGAAACUGAGAAGAAAGUAUGUGUCAGCAAUUCAGUCAACUAAAACGUGAAGUACGUAUGGGGAUUCAACAUGAUGUAACUCAGCAAUAAGGAGUACCAGAUAGAAAUAAAGAAGAACACCGUGCAAUUUGUGAUGCAUAGCUGUGUAACUGAUAAUGUUUAAAAUCAGAAGCCGUUAUUUUGUGUUCCAGACUCAAGCUGAGAUAGGGGAAGCCAAGUGGCUAUGUACGGCUUCCAUCGGCUGUUUACUAAUUAGCAGUUUUUAACAAAGAUAUGGUGGUGAUUGGCUGGGUUCGAGCUUUGAUUCUAGGGUACUGAAUGCAGCCAAUUAAAAUUAAAUCAAAACCAUGUAGCAGAUCUGAUAAUGGCUAGUGUAUUCUUUGACAGAAUUUCUUCUACUUUAUGCUUAACCUGGUACUGAUCCCAGCAGAAACUUUUGUAUGUCUAAGCCUAGCCACAGCUACACAUGACUGUGUAUUAUACUACACAACAACUUGAAUUCAGAUAUGAGUAUAUGACAUGAACGUAGACUUGUAUGGUAUGGAGUGCCAGAAGAGCUUGAAUUUGGCUGAUUCUUUAGGCCAAGUUUCCAAAAGGGUUCUUUUUACCUGUUAUAGAAUUUUAUCCCAUUUUAAGCUUUGAAGAGAGAUUUAAUUGCUAAAUUUUCAUGAUGCAAAGUGAAAAAUACUCCGAAUCACCAUCAUCUGUGCAAGUCAUUUGGGAUAACAUCAUCAGUGGUUAGUAAGAAAUUUGUAUCUUAGUGGGGGAGAAUAUUAUAGCUUUGAUUAUUUCUUUUGGUCUAAAUAUGCAAAUAUGAAAUUAUCGAUUACUUUUGCUG